AGGGAGGCAAUAGACACAAGCGAAUAUGCAUUAGAUUUUGGAAAGAGAAAUACUGAUUACAUUAUAGGAAGAGGAAAAGCCAUGACAGCUGAGAUUAAAUGUAAUAUUAUCAGCCAGUUUUACUUUUUUCUUCUUAUAAAUCCAUGAAUUGUUGCAAAUGGAAAUAGCAAAGAUAUUGCAGUUUUUUUAAUAUCUUGAAUUUUGAAAUCAAUUGACCGCUUUUUAUAUGGAUAGUUGGUUGGGAAGGAAUGAAUGAUGGUAAGGUUAGCACCAGUUAGGUGGUUAAGGCUGACACCAGUAUACAUGACAGAGGUUAGCUGUUGUGAGACAACUACGUAACACCACCACACUCUACACGGCUCACCACUGUAGCUAGUGAUGGUAACCCUGUAAACGCCACACAAAUCUAGUUCUACUAGUAGUGCUAACAGACAUCCCACCACUUUGUUAACUCUCGUGAAGCCCCACUAGCCUGCUACACCCAAAAGCCUGUAUUAAGUCAGCGAUCCCCAUUGUAUUACACACAACACUUUGAUAUGUGCCACGACUGAUGAGGACUUGCAACCCGGGGAUGAAGUGACACUGUGAUUUAGAACUAGGUGAUUAUCAGGUGUAUUUGGCUUUGCUGUAUUUACAGUGGGUGAUGUAGUGCUAGGUGAUAGUAUUUGGCCUUGCUGUAUUUACAGUGGAUGCUGUAGGGCUAGGUGAUAGUAUUUUGCCUUGCUGUAUUUACAGUGGAUGCUGUAGGGCUAGGUGAUAGUCUAUUUUGCCUUGCUGUAUUUACAGGAGAUCAUGUAGUGAUAGGUGAUAGGUGUAUUUGGCCUUGCUGUAUUUACAGAUCAUGAUGUAGGGCUAGGUGAUAGGUAUAUUUUGCCUUGCUGUAUUUACAGUGGAUGAUGUAGGGCUAGGUGAUGGUAUUUGGCCUUGCUGUAUUUACAGUGGAUGAUGUAGGGCUAGGUGAUGGUAUUUGGCCUUGCUGUAUUUACAGAUCAUGAUGUAGGGCUAGGUGAUAGGUAUAUUUUGCCUUGCUGUAUUUACAGGAGAUCAUGUAUGGCUAGGUGAUAGUAUUUGGCCUUGCUGUAUUUACAGUGGAUGAUGUAGGGCUAGGUGAUAGUAUUUGGCCUUGCUGUAUGAUGAUUGAGAAAGGCUGCUUUAGGGAGGCAGCAGUAUAUUGGAGAUAAGGUGGGUGUGGGUUUACUUACAAAUUAUCAAAAUAUUGAAAACAGAAAAUGUAAAACUAAAACUGAAGUCACAACAUAGGACUAAGUCACAUUGUUAAAUUAAGACUGAAGCCGCAAUGCAGGACUUAGACUGCAGUGACAAUGUAAGACUAAGAUUGAAGUCACAAUGUAAGACUAGGACUCAAUUACAUCACGAUGAAAAAAAAAAAUGACUAAGACUGAAGUCACAGUUUAAGACUAAGACUGAAGUCACAGUUUAAGACUAAAACUAAAAUCACAAUGUAGGACUAAGAUUGAAGUCGCAAUGUAAAACUAAGACUCAAUUACAUCACAAUGUAAGACUAAGACUCAAGUGACAAUGAAGAAUUAAGAAUUUGGGCAGAAUGAAAGAUCACAAGCAUUUAUUUAAACACACAGUUAAGUUUGGGUAUUGCUAUAGCUAUCCAACAAACAAAAGGUGCAUGUCACAAGUUGGUGAAUUAAACAAAUUGUUUAGUAUUUCACAACUUUAUGGACCAACAGUGGGUGGAGGGCUCAUGGAGGAUGUGAUUGUAGACCCAGAUGAACUGAAAUUAAGUGAUAACAAACAGUUGGUGAAGUGAAUACCUGAAGUGUGCUUCUCAGUGAUUUUAGAUGUCAGGGAAUAUAUGGCAGAUUUCCAUUAUUUUAUACUCCCAGGUCCUUAGAUACAAAGGACAGCCCUUGAAUAAUGGAGGAAUAAUAAACUAAUAAUAAAUCCUUCUUUAAGUGUUUUUUGGAAAGACUGAAGUGAAUCUCUGUGAUGAAGUAAGUUACGUGGAUGCUUUCAGUUCAAUUCAAACUACACAGAAAAUCACUCAAA